rnacentral:rRNA from 1 species
AACGAACGCUGGCGGCACGCCUAACACAUGCAAGUCGAACGAAGCCUUCGGGCUUAGUGGCGCACGGGUGCGUAACACGUGGGAAUCUGCCCUUCGGUUCGGAAUAACAGUUAGAAAUGACUGCUAAUACCGGAUGAUGACGUAAGUCCAAAGAUUUAUCGCCGAAGGAUGAGCCCGCGUAGGAUUAGGUAGUUGGUAGGGUAAUGGCCUACCAAGCCGACGAUCCUUAGCUGGUCUGAGAGGAUGAUCAGCCACACUGGGACUGAGACACGGCCCAGACUCCUACGGGAGGCAGCAGUGGGGAAUAUUGGACAAUGGGCGAAAGCCUGAUCCAGCAAUGCCGCUUGAGUGAUGAAGGCCUUAGGGUUGUAAAGCUCUUUUACCAGGGAUGAUAAUGACAGUACCUGGAGAAUAAGCUCCGGCUAACUCCGUGCCAGCAGCCGCGGUAAU